rnacentral:rRNA from 1 species
CCUACGGGAGGCAGCAGUGGGGAAUUUUGGACAAUGGGCGCAAGCCUGAUCCAGCAAUGCCGCGUGCAGGAUGAAGGCCUUCGGGUUGUAAACUGCUUUUGUACGGAACGAAACGGUCUGCCCUAAUACGGUGGGCUAAUGACGGUACCGUAAGAAUAAGCACCGGCUAACUACGUGCCAGCAGCCGCGGUAAUACGUAGGGUGCGAGCGUUAAUCGGAAUUACUGGGCGUAAAGCGUGCGCAGGCGGUUAUAUAAGACAGAUGUGAAAUCCCCGGGCUCAACCUGGGACCUGCAUUUGUGACUGUAUAGCUAGAGUACGGUAGAGGGGGUAUGGAAUUCCGCGUGUAGCAGUGAAAUGCGUAGAUAUGCGGAGGAACACCGAUGGCGAAGGCAAUCCCCUGGACCUGUACUGACGCUCAUGCACGAAAGCGUGGGGAGCAAACAGGAUUAGAUACCCUGGUAGUCCACGCCCUAAACGAUGUCAACUGGUUAGUUGGGUCUUCACUGACUCAGUAACGAAGCUAACGCGUGAAGUUGACCGCCUGGGGAGUACGGCCGNAAGGUUGAAACUNAAAGGAAUUGACGG